rnacentral:rRNA from 1 species
CCAGACUCCUACGGGAGGCAGCAGUGGGGAAUAUUGCACAAUGGGGGAAACCCUGAUGCAGCGAGGCCGCGUGAGUGAAGAAGUAUUUCGGUAUGUAAAGCUCUAUCAGCAGGAACGAGACAAGACGGUACCUGACUAAGAAGCCCCGGCUAACUACGUGCCAGCAGCCGCGGUAAUACGUAGGGGGCAAGCGUUAUCCGGAAUCACUGGGUGUAAAGGGAGCGUAGACGGCUGUGCAAGUCUGAAGUGAAAGGCAAGGGCUCAACCUUUGGACUGCUUUGGAAACUGUGCAGCUAGAGUGUCGGAGAGGCAAGUGGAAUUCCUAGUGUAGCGGUGAAAUGCGUAGAUAUUAGGAGGAACACCAGUGGCGAAGGCGGCUUGCUGGACGAUGACUGACGUUGAGGCUCGAAAGCGUGGGGAGCAAACAGGAUUAGAUACCCGAGUA